rnacentral:rRNA from 1 species
AUUUUGCCCAAUCCGCGCCUCGCAUCCCGCACCAGCCACCACCCAAACCCUAGCCCCGUUUCCCCUCGAUCCCCACAGCCCCCGCCUCCUCCAUCCCUCCUCCUCACCUCGCCAUGGCCUCCGCCCCGGAGCCUCGCCGCCGCCUGCGAUUCCUCCCUCCUGCCCGCAGAGCCCAUUGGGCUCGCCAACCCUAGCCCCAAUCCACAUCCCCCGCGCCCCUCACUGGUCCCUCCUCCUCCUUCCCUCGUCUGCCGCCUCGCUCCCUCGCUCUCCUUCCUCGUCGCCGUGGCCUUUGGCCUAGGAGCCCCGCCGCCUACAGCUCCUCCUCCACCACCUCGCCUCUUUCUCCUCCUCGCCUUUCCAUCGCUCGCGCGCAGGUCACCACUGUCGGAGAACACGGGAGUGCGGGUCUUCAAGUUGGGGUGGUCAGGAGGGCUUCCCGACCUGACGGCGCCUCCUCCUCCUCGCAGCGUCGUCGCGCGUACACCUUCUUCUCCUCCCUCCUCCCUCCCUCGUCACUACUUCCACCAGUCCCCUCCCUUCCUCGUCCGUGGCCGCUGCUGACCCCUCCUCCGGCCUCCGCGUCUCUGCCCAGGCGGCAAGGCCCCCAGCCCCCCUCGGGCCUCGGCCCCUCCAUACAGCCCGCUUCUGCCUCGUCCAACUCGCUGCUUAGCUCCCAAGGCUCGGAGGGCAGCGGGCGCGGCAGGCUCGGCAGGCAGCGGGCGCGGUGGUCAAGGCCAGGGGCGCGGAUUGGGGAGAUGCGCACACGAGGAGCGACGGCGACCGCGUCUGCCGCCAACACCGAGAUCAGCUCUUCGUUCUUUCAAGCCCUAUGUUGCUUACUCAAAUGCUUGUGGCGAUUGUAUCCUUGUGCCAUGAAUAUUUGUACUUAGCAGAUCAAUAUAAACAUAUUGGCUAUCUAUUUACCAAUUCAGAAUUUAAAGCACUUUAUUUUAUGGCCUUGAGUAAAAGUUCAGUCGUUGUUGGCUGGAAGACAUCUUCAAUACGCUGUCUACACGAGCUUCCCAAGGUAAUGAUCUAAGAGGAAGUGAGUUGGAGAUGAGAUGGGGACAGAAGAUCCUGCAGUGAUGUUGUUUCUUUGUUCUCCUGCUCAAGGUUUGCUCUUUCCUACUUACUGUCAUGGUGGUUGGUUCACUGCUCGUUUUAUUGUUUCGGAAUUAGCCGCCUGUCGUGUUUUGAUUUGCCUCGUGCUGCUUAUAUUUCGUGUUUGCGUGUGGGAAGGAUGUGUGCUAUAGAUUUUGUGUGUGCAUCUGAGAUACCUAGAAUGGUUGAGAACUGAAUGUGUUGCCCUAUUUAAUUGGCAUAUUCAACUUAAUUAAUACGCCUUUUAGCCGUGACUUCUGCCCAAACUUUUGAAAGUGCAGAUGAUCACUCUAUCGGGUAAUGGUGUUUUCUAUUGCAAUUUGUCAGCUAUACUACAUGCUGCCCCUGUUUCUUUUGCUCUGCUAAAAAUGUGUGCUUACUUUCAAUCUUAUUACAUCAAUAGACUUGUGGGCGUAUAGUAUUUCUGUAAUCUCUGUGCCUUACCGGUUUUGUGAUUUCAGCUCAGGUGGAUGAGCCCCGUCCUGUGUUAUUCCCCUUGGUUUCUGAAGCUCCCAGGAUUUAAUAAUGAGUUGUCUUGGGCUUCAUUGGACAAAUGAUCUACCUUGAGCAAUGAUACAUCUCAGGUGGAUGAUCCCCGUCCUGUGUUAUUCCCCUUGGUUUCUGAAGCUCCCAGGAUUUAAUAAUGAGGUGUCUUGGGCUUCAUUGGACAGAUGAUCUACCUCGAGCAAUGAUACAGGUUGGCGUUGAAGCAUGAUGGCGUUUUUCUUGCAGCAAAUCUUGGCAGGAAGACUCUGAAGUGAUAAUCUUAAAUUUGCCAUUUACCGACAUUUUCCAGUUUCUUGUUUGACUUGCCUUUUCUUGGAUGCGAUGAUAAGGGAACUAAGAAUUGCGUGCACUAUUGCUCAAAUGGAACAUAAGGGAGGUAUCAGUCCUCAAAUGUUGCCUCUAGAACAAAAGUAACGCUCAAAAGCCUGAAUAGAAUUCCUUGGGAAAGGGUAGAUGUUAGCUUCAAGAGAAGUAGACAAUGGAUUUUUGCCCAUAGCACCAUUCAGCCCUACCGCUCCUGAGCCCAAAUCCCAUGACCAUGCCCCCACCUCUCCUUUGUGGAAUGAAGGGAGUCUAGUUGCUAAAAAGCCAUAACACAUCUUUACAGGUAAGUUUGUUCUCUAGAUAGUUCUCUUUCCAAGAUUUUCAUAUCAUAUUUGUUGUGGGAUCUGACUGCUUUACCAUAUUUUCCUGGUGUGGACGAUGUUAUAGAGUGAGCUACCAUCACUUCUCAUUACUGACUGUAAUCAAUAUAUAUGUGUUUAUGCCAUAAAAGAUGGAUAUUUGUCGAAGCCAUUGUCGUGUCAUGUAAUUACCUGGAGAUCAGCUAUAUAGUUUUGUUCGGAUUAUAUAGUGGAAACGACAACUCCCGUGUGAUUGUCAUUUGAUUAUUUACUUCCUCAAGUAGUAUGGAUAUGGUGCUGCCAGGAUAUUAAGUAUAUUCAUGAAGUUGUAUAAACCACGUUCUACGAUUCACUUCUGUUAUGCAUAUUUAUUUUCCAGUUUUAGGACUGAAAUCCAUCCAUUGUAAUGAACUUGGUUGUAUGGGCAUUACCUAUUUGACUUACGCUUGCUUCAUCACAUAUAGACUGCUUUUCUUUUCCCCACUGCUUGUAUGACCUAAAACUAUCAUGUGUAUGAGGCAAGUUAUUAGCAAUGUUUCACAUUUUUUACUUGCAAUACUGUGCUUGCCUAUUUCAGGUGUUCCAAGACCCAAAUCA